rnacentral:rRNA from 1 species
GUAUCCUACGGGGCGCAGCAGUAGGGAAUAUUGCACAAUGGGGGAAACCCUGAUGCAGCGACGCCGCGUGAGUGAAGAAGUAUCUCGGUACGUAAAGCUCUAUCAGCAGGGAAGAAAAUGACGGUACCUGACUAAGAAGCCCCGGCUAACUACGUGCCAGCAGCCGCGGUAAUACGUAGGGGGCAAGCGUUAUCCGGAUUUACUGGGUGUAAAGGGAGCGUAGACGGCAGCACAAGUCUGGAGUGAAAGCCCGGGGCCCAACCCCGGGACUGCUCUUGGAACUGCAUGGCUGGAGUACAGGAGGG